AGUGAACGCUGGCGGUAGGCCUAACACAUGCAAGUCGAACGGCAGCACAGUAAGAGCUUGCUCUUACGGGUGGCGAGUGGCGGACGGGUGAGGAAUACAUCGGAAUCUACUUUUUCGUGGGGGAUAACGUAGGGAAACUUGCGCUAAUACCGCAUACGACCUACGGGUGAAAGCAGGGGAUCUUCGGACCUUGCGCGAUUGAAUGAGCCGAUGUCGGAUUAGCUAGUUGGCGGGGUAAAGGCCCACCAAGGCGACGAUCCGUAGCUGGUCUGAGAGGAUGAUCAGCCACACUGGAACUGAGACACGGUCCAGACUCCUACGGGAGGCAGCAGUGGGGAAUAUUGGACAAUGGGCGCAAGCCUGAUCCAGCCAUACCGCGUGGGUGAAGAAGGCCUUCGGGUUGUAAAGCCCUUUUGUUGGGAAAGAAAAGCAGCAGGUUAAUACCCCGCUGUUCUGACGGUACCCAAAGAAUAAGCUCCGGCUAACUUCGUG
rnacentral:rRNA from 1 species